rnacentral:rRNA from 1 species
AUGGAGCAAUCAAAAAUUAUAGAUACGUUGGAGAUGUAUCAGUACUCGAUGCCCAAUGGAGUGCAGGAGCAAAAUGUCGAGGAAGAGGCGAGCGGGGGCGAGAGUGGCAAGUGGCACUCGGAUGCAGAGGAGGACGAGGAGAGCGACGACCCGAGUGACGAAGAAGAGGUCGACUCGCCUCCUCGCAGGGAAAGGAGGUCCAAGCACACUCACGACCCGGCAAACACCCCUGACCUGGUGGCUGCACCGACUGGGCAGUCUUCAAAGCACCCUCGGACGUCUUCUCCGGUGCCGACUAAGAAGGGACCGAAACAACUCAAGACUGCGCCGCCUCCUGCACCGAAACCAUUGAAGGCCACAUCCUCCAAACCGCCGAAAGCUUCGCCCAGAAUCAAAGUGACCAUUCCCACCAUCUCCGGGUAA